rnacentral:rRNA from 1 species
GACGAACGCUGGCGGCGCGCCUAAAACAUGCAAGUCGAACGAGAAGCCCGGGCUUGCCCGGGUGGACAGUGGCGAACGGGUAAGUAACACGUGAGGAACCUGCCCCGAUGACCGGGACAACCCGAGGAAACUCGGGCUAAUACCGGAUGUGCUCUCUUCACACCAGUGAAGCGAGUAAAGGUAGCUUCGGCCUCCGCAUCGGGAUGGGCCCGCGGCCCAUUAGCUUGUUGGUGAGGUAACGGCUCACCAAGGCUAUGACGGGUAGCUGGUCUGAGAGGACGACAAGCCACACGGGAACUGAGACACGGUCCCGACUCCUACGGGAGGCAGCAGUGGGGAAUUUUCCGCAAUGGGCGAAAGCCUGACGGAGUGACGCCGCGUGGGGGACGAAGGCCUUCGGGUCGUAAACCCCUGUCAGAGGGAAAGAAGGGUGUCGGCGUGAAUAGCGCCGGCAUCUGACGGUACCUUCAGAGGAAGCCCCGGCCAACUCUGUGCCAGCCGCCGCCGUAA